UAGAUCCCUGUUACACAGCUCUGGGACACAAACUCAAUCUGAUGAUGGUGCAGGACGCUAGUAAAUAUGAUCUGACGAUAAUAAAGAGAAUAAACUACAACACAGCAGAUGAUCUAGUUUGUAGAGUAAAGAAUGGCAGGAUGAGGAAGACUGAAUGUGAUCUUUAUAAUAACAGACCUGAAGUGACAGUCACUAAUGGGACUCUGAUAAUAAACCGUGUGAUCAGAACAGAUUCAGGGAAUUACAGAUUAACACUCUCUCACUCAGACGGCACAGAAACAUCUCGAGAUCUUCAAGUGAUUGUUGAAGCUGAUGGUUCUGUUCGGUCUGUUAGGAGCUUUUCACAUCUACAUGAGACACACAUCAGGAAAGAAACAGGAAGAUCAGAAAGUGAGGAUGAG